rnacentral:lncRNA from 1 species
AUCUCUCCAGGCGCGCACGCAGCCCGGAGCGGGCCGGGGCACAGGGCGCAGGCGGGAGGUCGCAUCUGCAGCUUUGGCGCAAUGAAUCAGGCGCGGCCGCCGCCGCCGCCGCUGCGGAGCGCGUCUGGCAUCCGGAGUCUCCCGGGAUCGAAAAUAAUUUGGGCAAAGCGGUGGGAGGUGGUGCUGUGCUGUGUGCUACAGAUUCCACUGAGUGGGACCCUGAGGCCCAGCGGAACCCCCAUGGCUCCUCAUCGCUCAUUCCAGCAACGAAGAAAAAUGACUGCAUCUGCCCUGAGGACCGCUGUGCACAUUCUCUGAGUUGAUUCAUCAAAAGCCUUUAGCAGAGCGUGGGACUUGGAGGCCACCAUGCACAGAAGCGCAUUUGUGGAAGAGGAGGUUGGUGACUUGGUGGGGCCUCCCUUCUCUGUCAUCAAGGAUGCCCUCCAGGAGUUCCUGUAGUGGCUCAGUGGAAAUGAAUCUGACGAGUAUCCAUGAGGAAGCUGCUUCCGUCUCUGGCCUGGCCUUGCUCAGUGGGUUAAGGAUCUGGCGUUGCCAUGAGCUGUGGUGUAGGUUGCGACGUGACUCAGAUCCUGCGUUGCUGUGGCUCUAGUGUAGGCCGGUAGCUACAGCUCCCAUUCCACCCCAGCCUGGGAACCUCCAUAUGCUGCCGCCCUACAAAGACAAAAAGACAAAAAGACAAAAA